rnacentral:rRNA from 1 species
GACGGAGGAUGCAAGCGUUAUCCGGAAUUAUUGGGCGUAAAGCGUCCGCAGGUGGACAUACAAGUCUGCUGUCAAAGUGCAGAGCUUAACUCUGUAAAGGCGGUGGAAACUGUAGGUCUUGAGUAUGGUAGGGGUAGAGGGAAUUCCCGGUGUAGCGGUGAAAUGCGUAGAUAUCAGGAGGAACACCGGUGGCGAAGGCGGAUCUCUGGGCCUUACCUGACGCUCAGGUGCGAAAGCUAGGGGAGCGAGCAGG